rnacentral:rRNA from 1 species
GACGUAGGGCGCGAGCGUUGUCCGGAUUUAUUGGGCGUAAAGAGCUCGUAGGCGGCUUGUCGCGUCGACUGUGAAAACCCGCGGCUCAACUGUGGGCUUGCAGUCGAUACGGGCAGGCUGGAGUUCGGUAGGGGAGACUGGAAUUCCUGGUGUAGCGGUGAAAUGCGUAGAUAUCGUAAGGAAGACCAGUGGCGAAGGCGGGUCUCUGGACAGUUCCUGACGCUGAGGCACGAAGGUCAGGGGAGCAAACGGG